AAUUGCGAGUUUGAUCCUGGCUCAGGAUUAACGCUGGCGGCGUGCCUUAUGCAUGCAAGUCGAACGGUUCCGAUUCGUCGGGAUAGUGGCAAACGGGUGAGUAACGCGUAGGUAACCUGCCCUUGAGUGGGGGAUACCCUCGAGAAAUCGGGGAUAAUACCGCAUAAUGCGCUGGAGGUUACUCCAGUGUCAAAGCCGCAAGGCGCUCUUGGAGGGGCUUGCGUCCUAUCAGGUAGUUGGUGGGGUAAGAGCCUACCAAGCCGAUGACGGGUAGCUGGUCUUAGAGGAUGUCCAGCCACACUGGGACUGAGAUACGGCCCAGACUCCUACGGGAGGCAGCAGCAAGGAAUAUUGUGCAAUGG
rnacentral:rRNA from 1 species